rnacentral:rRNA from 1 species
GUGGGGAAUUUUGGACAAUGGGCGCAAGCCUGAUCCAGCCAUGCCGCGUGAGUGAAGAAGGCCUUCGGGUUGUAAAGCUCUUUCGGCGGGGACGAAACGGUUCGUGCUAACACCACGGACUACUGACGGUACCCGAAGAAGAAGCACCGGCUAACUACGUGCCAGCAGCCGCGGUAAUACGUAGGGUGCAGGCGUUAAUCGGAAUUACUGGGCGUAAAGCGUGCGCAGGCGGUUUGUUAAGACAGGUGUGAAAUCCCCGGGCUUAACCUGGGAACUGCGCUUGUUACUGGCAGACUGGAGUGUGGCAGAGGGGGGUGGAAUUCCAGGUGUAGCAGUGAAAUGCGUAGAUAUCUGGAGGAACACCGAUGGCGAAGGCAGCCCCCUGGGCUAACACUGACGCUCAUGCACGAAAGCGUGGGGAGCAAACAGGAUUAGAUACCCUGGUAGUCC